rnacentral:rRNA from 1 species
UACGUAGGGGGCAAGCGUUGUCCGGAUUUAUUGGGCGUAAAGAGCGUGUAGGCGGCUUUACAGGUCCGUUGUGAAAACUCGAGGCUCAACCUCGAGACGCCGGUGGAAACCGUAAGGCUAGAGUCCGGAAGAGGAGAGUGGAAUUCCUGGUGUAGCGGUGAAAUGCGCAGAUAUCAGGAAGAACACCGAUGGCGAAGGCAGCUCUCUGGGACGGUACUGACGCUGAGACGCGAAAGCGUGGGGAGCGAACAGG